GACAAAUGGACAGAAUGAAUGUACGACCUAGAGAUAAAACAAUCAGCUAUGCUGACGGCCAAAUGUAAGGAGUGUGGUGACCACUUCUGAGCUGGAGAAGACUUUCAGACAAAAAGCCAUCAAAAUAUGAAAGCUAAAAUUUUCAGCUCAAAGUUGGAAAGGAGUGACAAGAAGGGAUAUGCUCAAUGUGAACCUGAUCUUAGUGGGAAAGAAUACCAUUAUCAUUCUCACCAUUAAAUGAUCUGAUCCAUCCAUGCCUGCUGACCAUCAGCCACAGAUCAUUGGCUUGUCUUAUGGCAAAGUCAGUACACACCGGAACGUGGUUGCCUCAUCCGAAUGCCCAAGGAAAGUCUACGAGCUUCUCUCUCUUUCAAGUUGCUCUCUUUCUCGUCUGUCUCUUUGCACCAGAUCUGCCAGCCUCCAGGAGCUGAGAGGGGCAAGAUAGCGACGAGGCCCCAUCCUAGUGUAUGGUGUGUCAGUUGCUAACAUGGGUUCGUGGUGGUGGGUCCUUCUGUCUGUAUUCAAAAUCAUAGCAAUCCAUUUAGGCACCGCUGUUCCUUCCAGGCAAAUGUGCAAUAACACAGUUGGCCCAUUAACAUUGCAGCUGCAUAGAAGAUUAGUCACUUUGCGCUGUGCUGCCUGGUUAAAGCAUCCACGACCACUUACGGAAUUUGGGAAUAGCACUGCUGCAAUGAGCUGAUGCACUGUUUACAAUCAUUCUCAAUACAGACAACACAUCAUUCUUGGUUUUCUGUGUGGGUUGGGUGGCUGAAAACAUCUCCCACCAAGCUGAUACUUUUUAUACAGCUCUAGAGUGGGGGAAAAAAAGAGCCUUCCUGGUGCUCCUUCUGCUCUCCAUUGGGAUUCUCCAUUGAGGAAAAAGAUGGGUUUCAUCAACUGUCCCAAGAAAAUAGGCUGAUAACUUCCUCAAUUAAACUGUGGCUUCUUAAAUUCAGGGCUUGUGAUUAGUUACAAUGGAUCCUGAAGCCUCUACAGGAUAAGAGCUACGCAUGAUUCUCCUGAAGCAUUUAACAGCAUGGCACAUGCUAUUAGCCCCUUUGGUUUUAAUUUAUCCUGAGAAACGCAUCUCUUUUCAUGCAAAUAUUUUGUAGAUAUUGACGUAUGGACAUUUUAAAGAUUUUAGGAUAAACGGAAUACAACUUUGCAGAAGCUAUUUCCGUUUUCACUCCGCUUCUUAAAUAUAAGGAAGAAAGGCCCUUGGCACAAAGGGUGAGCCUAUUUCCAAACGUUCACUGGAGUCGGCUUCUUUGGCCCUCUCUGGGAUGUGAAGCGACAACAAUGUGAAAUAGCUCUCAAUUGCAAAAAUAACUAAUGGCAUCUGAAGGAGUUAGGCCAAAGAUGGCAAAUACCUCGUCCCAGGGUUUCAACUGAAAGCUGACCACACUUACCACAUUUCCACUCUGGAACAAAAUGAGGGGUGCCUGAGUGGCUCAUCAGUUAAGCACCCGGCUCAUGACUUUGCUCAGGUCAUGAUUUCAUGGUUUGUGAGUUCAAGUCCCACAUCAGGAUCCAUGCCAUCAGCAUGAGCAUGUCCUGCUUGAGAUUCUCUCUCCCUCUCUCUCUCUCUCUCUCUGCCCCUCCCCGAUCAUGCUCUCUCUCAAAAUAAAUAACUUAAAAAAAUAAUUAAAAGCAAGAAAUAUAGCACAUCAAACUGUAAUUAAAAUAAAAACUUAAACAAAUAUAUACAUAGAACAUACUAGAGAGAUGGAGGGGGGAAAGUCAGCUUUAUUACUGGUAAAACAUGCUUAAGAAGACUUUUUAAAUGUGUCACUGCAACUGGGUUUGCUAAUGCCUUCCCUAAAAUGACAGCCUCACCCCUGUUGCCACAAGACAUCACAGACAGCCCUGGAAUUAGUCUGCUCAGGCUGCCGUAACAAAAUACCACAGGCUGGGUGACUUAAACAACAGACCUUUCUUUUCUGACAGUUCUGGAGGCUGGAAGUGCAGGAACAAGGUGUCAGAAGAUUUGGUUCCUUCUGGGGUCUCUCUCCUUGGCCAUCUUCUCGCUGCACCCUCCUGUGGUCCUUUCUCCGCAUGUGUCUAUGUCCUGAAUCAUCUCUUUUUAUAAGGACACCAGUCAGAUUGGAGUAGGGCCCACCCUACCGGCCUGAUUUUAACUUAAUUGCCUCUUUAAAAGCCCUUUCUCCAAAUAGGGUCACAUUCUGGGGUACUGGGAUUCGGUAGGCAAGAAUUUUGAGGAGGUGAAAUUCAGCCUGCAACAUCCCUCCAGCAAGUGCAGACGGCUUGCUACAAGGAAAGGCAGAGAGGAGUUUAUUUUUCCGGGGGACAGCUCAGCUGAUCAUUUCUCAGUCCUGGUUGUACAUUAGGGCCAGCCAGGGAACUUUGAAAGCCAUCAGUGCCCGGAGCUCGACCACAGGUAAACUGAGGUCUAAUCUCUGGGACUGGGGCCAAGAUAUGAGUGGGUUUUGGAAGCCCCACUAGAUGAUGAUGGUGUGCAUUCAGCACUGAGAUCCACCAGAUUCACUCAAAAGAGGCAGAGAGAAAGGAGCAGGAUGGGGGCACACACUCAGGUCCUUCUUACAGUAUUCCCAAUUCCACGAGGUGCUUCCCUUCAGAAAGAUGAGAGGGGAAGGAAGGAGACUGACCGCCCCCUAAGUAUUCCUUUCCCUAUCCAGGAUGUAGGAGACAGGGAGCCUGGCUUAGCAGAAACACAUCAAUUAUGCCUGGCCUGGGGGAAGGAGUGUCUUGCUCCCCACCACUCCUCCUGACAUCUGCAAAGGAGGCGAGGCUCAGUGUCUAAGAACCAGGUCCUGUAUUGCCAGCUCAGGCACAACCUUCUCAAACCUUCAUCUCCGACCAUCUCCCUGGGGCAGCAAAUUGUUCCAACCUGCCCUUUGCACGGGACACUGAUGGACCGUGGGAAGCUGAGAUUUAGUUCUCCAUUUCCUGCACCCCUCUGGCUACUGGAUCUCAAUUCUGGGCAGCUGGUCAACCCAUCAGGAAUCCACUAAAGCAAAUCAUUUUGCUUCUCCACAGCAGGCUGACUUCAGUAACCACCAAGAAUUCAUUACUGCUCUGGUUUGUUUACACUCGCUAGGAACAGACAGUGCCUGUGAAUUAUUUGGAGACACGCCUUUCCCUAUAAAUCAGGUUUAAUCUAUGCUUCAGAUAUGUAAGACAGCAUCUGGAGCUUCCUCUUUUUUCCCCUUUUGUUUCUUUAGUCAAAUGAGUAUGGAGGCACCUCCCUUUACAGGUCAUAUCCAGUAGGAAAAACAAAAGACAAACAACAACAACAAAUAAAUAAAUACCUUCGAAUUCAGCUGUAUGGAUCUGAAGCAGUUGGACACCUGGGUUUUAGCCCCAGCACCACUGAUAACCAUUUAUAUGAAUUUUGGAAAAGUUAUUUAUCUCAUCUCUAACAGGAUGGAAGUAUUAGACUCGCCAUGAUUUACAUGAUGUGGAAUCUCUAGAUGAAUAAUGACAAAUGAAGACAGAAGAGAGACACUGGCCAUUUUUCAUUUAAUUAAAUUAACUAAAUUGUUACUGAUCACCUACUACGUGCUGGGACUGUGCUGGCAUCAAUAUAAAGCCAUCUAGAGCAUGCCUCUGCCAAGAAGUCCACUUUUAAACACACACCUUGGUUAGCAUGGUAGAGAAUAAGCAUCUUUACUGGCCAUGGCAGUUAUAAGGAUGUCUUGAUCGAUUUCUUUAAAAGAAUAAAAUAUUAAGGUUUGGGCUGCAUAUAUAUAAAUUUCUUUGGAGAAUGUUAGGAGCACCCUUUCCCCAGAGACAAGACAACCAAUAGCGAAGGUAAAAAAAAAAAAAAAAAAAAAAAAAAAAAAAGUAAAACAGAAGCCCAAAUUGAAAGAACAGCAUCAAUAUUUAAUCACAGCAGGCCACGGGCUGUUGAAGCAAAAGGUAUUAAAUGUAAUUGAAACCAAAGUAUUCCGAUUCCCACUGCGGGGUAUGAGGUGGACCAAGGAAGGGCCUUUUCUCUGGGUGUCUCUUUCCCACAACCUGCUGGAAUAUUCCCUAAGUGGAUUGUGUCAUUAGGAACACAUCAAAUCAAUAUCCUAGGAAGGGUUCGUGUGUGCGGGGCCAAAGCAUACCUUGGGUGAUUUCACCUCAUGUAACAGAUUGGUCUCUUAGCCAUACAGUAACAGAAGCAUUUUCUUUCUACAAAAUGGAUAGCACAGAAGAAUAAUCUAGCUAGCAUACUAAUAAAGGAAAAUAAAGGUAUCUGGGAAAACUCUUUGAAACCCUCAAUGGCUAAUUUGGGAAUUCCAGACUUUGUUACUGGAGAGACGCAGUAAAGGUAUUAUUAAACAACUCUAAUACACGAGAUGUAUUACAUCAAGGAUGCACUCUUAUUUUUGUAAUUGCCACUUAUCUCAAACCUUUUAUUCAUGAUCUCAGAGGACAUUUUCAAAAGCUCAUACUGUCACUAUACCUUGAUCAAGGUUAAGUGAGUCUUUCUUUUUCUUAUAGAAUGAUCACCUUCCUGGUCCCUUCUCCCCAACUCUCUGGUUUAAUAACUGUGUCUUUUCUGGGUACUGUUAUUAACCUGGGGUUUAUGAUCACCUCUCUGGAACAUCAGUUUAAUAAUAUCACCUAUCGUGAACCAGGGACAGAGUAUCUACAUUCUUUAUGAUUUGCCUUUUUGGGUGCCAACCUUGAUUACAGUCUUAACUAUGGUUGUGUGUUUGUGUGUGUGUGUGUGUGUGUGUGUGUGUGUGUAGGGGGGAGAGAGAUGUGGAACUACCAGUUUUCUAUACUUUGUCUUUUUGUCUUGUUUUGUUUUGUUUUGUUUUGUAUAUAUACUUGUUCUUUAAAGGUAAGUGACUGGCCAUAUUCUUGGUCCACCUCUCCAAGUACAAACAAUUUAUGCAUCCAUGGGCCACCAUCACACCCUUGGCAGAACUAGACACAGAAUCAAUAAAGAGAUACUUUGCAGGUAAAGGGGAGAGGCAAAGUGACCCACAGUCUUAAGCACAGCCACAUGGUGGGUUGUCCCUUCACUAGACACAGAUGCUCUGAGACAUAGGCAAUGACACUUGUGGGUGAUCAGAAGACCCAGAACACAUUGCUCUUGAAGCAUCAAGUGAACCGGGAGCAGGAUUUUAUUUUCCCAUAACUUUUCUCUUCACCAGAAUUGUGUUCUGAUGUGGUAUUCAAAAUAUGCAGCCAAAAACAUGUUUUGCAAUCUGCUGGACCAAAGCUAUUUAAAGAUUGUUUUUCCCGAGAAAGAGAAAAAUUCUAAGGAAAGGAUGCAUACCCGUGA